UGGGGAAUAUUGGACAAUGGGCGCAAGCCUGAUCCAGCCAUGCCGCGUGAGUGACGAAGGCCUUCGGGUUGUAAAGCUCUUUUGGCGGGGACGAUAAUGACGGUACCCGCAGAAUAAGCCCCGGCUAACUUCGUGCCAGCAGCCGCGGUAAUACGAAGGGGGCAAGCAUUGUUCGGAAUUACUGGGCGUAAAGGGUGCGUAGGCGGAUUUGCGCGUCAGGUGUGAAAGCCCGGGGCUUAACCUCGGAAUUGCAUUUGAUACGGCAAGUCUGGAGUAUUGGAGAGGAGCGUGGAAUUCCCAGUGUAGAGGUGAAAUUCGUAGAUAUUGGGAGGAACACCAGUGGCGUAGGCGACGCUCUGGCCAAAUACUGACGCUGAGGCACGAAAGUGUGGGGAGCAAA
rnacentral:rRNA from 1 species